GCAAGCCUGUCAAAUUGGAUCCACAAUCAAGCAACUUGGCUUUUGGGCCCGCUUAUGGAUUAGCCCAUUCCCGCACUUGGGCCCGCUCCGUUCUUGCACAUGGAUCACCGCCCAAGCUCAAUUCACGCUCAUGGCCAUUCCCACUUCACGCAAAUGAACCAACACCAAGCGCCCAACACUCACUUCAAUUCCACCAAACACACGGACAGCCCAUCCACUUCAACGUGGACCAAGCUCAAGUACAUGACAAGCAC
rnacentral:lncRNA from 1 species